GUAAUGCAUAGGAAUCUGCCCAGUAGUGGGGGAUAGCCCGGGGAAACCCGGAUUAAUACCGCAUACGUCCUACGGGAGAAAGCAGGGGAUCUUCGGACCUUGCGCUAUUGGAUGAGCCUAUGUCGGAUUAGCUUGUUGGUGGGGUAACGGCCCACCAAGGCGACGAUCCGUAACUGGUCUGAGAGGAUGAUCAGCCACACUGGGACUGAGACACGGCCCAGACUCCUACGGGAGGCAGCAGUGGGGAAUAUUGCACAAUGGGGGAAACCCUGAUGCAGCCAUGCCGCGUGUGUGAAGAAGGCCUUCGGGUUGUAAAGCACUUUCAGUAUGGAGGAAGGCCCUAAAGUUAAUACCUUUAGGGAUUGACGUUACCUACAGAAGAAGCACCGGCUAACUCCGUGCCAGCAGCCGCGGUAAUACGGAGGGUGCGAGCGUUAAUCGGAAUUACUGGGCGUAAAGCGCGCGUAGGCGGUUAGUUAAGCUGGAUGUGAAAGCCCCGGGCUCAACCUGGGAACUGCAUUCAGAACUGGCUGGCUAGAGUACGAGAGAGGGUAGUGGAAUUUCCUGUGUAGCGGUGAAAUGCGUAGAUAUAGGAAGGAACAUCAGUGGCGAAGGCGACUGCCUGGCUCGAUACUGACGCUGAGGUGCGAAAGCGUGGGGAGCAAACAA
rnacentral:rRNA from 1 species